rnacentral:misc_RNA from 1 species
UGUGGGAGCUGGCUUGCCAGCGAUGAGGCCGUGUCAGCCAGCAUCAAUUUCAGCUGACCGACCGCCAUCGCUGGCAAGCCAGCUCCCACA